rnacentral:rRNA from 1 species
GAUGAACGCUGGCGGCGUGCCUAAUACAUGCCAGUCGAGCGAACAGACGAGGAGCUUGCUCCUCUGACGUUAGCGGCGGACGGGUGAGUAACACGUGGAUAACCUACCUAUAAGACUGGGAUAACUUCGGGAAACCGGAGCUAAUACCGGAUAAUAUAUUGAACCGCAUGGUUUAAUAGUGAAAGACGGUUUUGCUGUCACUUAUAGAUGGAUCCGCGCCGCAUUAGCUAGUUGGUAAGGUAACGGCUUACCAAGGCAACGAUGCGUAGCCGACCUGAGAGGGUGAUCGGCCACACUAGAACUGAGACACGGUCCAGACUCCUACGGGAGGCAGCAGUAGGGAAUCUUCCGCAAUGGGCGAAAGCCUGACGGAACAACGCCGCGUGAGUGAUGAAGGUCUUCGGAUCGUAAAACUCUGUUAUUAGGGAAGAACAAAUGUGUAAGUAACUAUGCACGUCUUGACGGUACCUAAUCAGAAAGCCACGGCUAACUACGUG